UACGGGGGGGGCAAGCGUUGUUCGGAAUUACUGGGCGUAAAGGGCUUGGAGGUGGCCAACUAAGUCAGACGUGAAAUCCCUCGGCUUAACCGGGGAACUGCGUCUGAUACUGGAUGGUUGGAGUGUGGGAGAGGGAUGCGGAAUUCCAGGUGUAGCGGUGAAAUGCGUAGAUAUCUGGAGGAACACCGGUGGCGAAGGCGGCAUCCUGGACCAUUACUGACACUGAAAAGCGAAAGCCAGGGGAGCAAACGGG
rnacentral:rRNA from 1 species